rnacentral:snRNA from 1 species
GUACUCUGGUUUCUCUUCACAUCAUAUAAAUCUUUCACCUUUUACUAAAGUUUUCCGUGGAGAGGAACAAUUUUUUUUUUUGGAUAUUGGGAAAAACUUCUUCACCGAAAGGGU